GCAGCUUGUGUUAGAAGAGCCUGUUAUACAAUGUAAUAGUCCACCCUGGUGAGAAAGUCUUCCAUUUCUCCAGCUCAUGGAUUGCACUGCUCUUUUGGAAACAAGUAAUACAUUUAUACUCAGGUAAUGAGCCACUCUUCUGAGGACAUCGAAAAGAAAAGGCAAAGUUCUUCAGUCCUGCUUCUCUGAUCCUAUCUGGACAUAAUAAAAUCCUUGCACCAUUCGUCUCAUCCUGGAGUCGGCUUCUUGGAGGAUGUGGACUGAUGCAGACCCUUUGCCUUGGAGCCCAGAGACUAGGAGGGGCUGAUGGCAGGAAGAUUAGCCCUGAGCUAACAUCUGCUGCGA